ensembl:lncRNA
CUUGGUGCGAGUCAGAGUAGAGAUCUUUGGUCCUGAAUGAAAGCUCUGCAAACUGUGCUGUGAACUGUUUUAUUUGUACAAGUUUGUACAGCUUUUCAUCUUAAAGUUGUCGGUUCAUUGCUUCCGGAAGAAGAAGCAAUGGGGUGAAACUCUGAUACUGUUUAACAAAGCAACCUGUAUGUGUGAGUCAAGGCGAGGUCCUGGCUUUUCAGUUUGUUCCUGGCAUGCAAGGAAAUCCAAGAGAAAGCAGUCUUUCCUGAAUCAGGGCUUGCUGCUGAAUUUCCAGCCCUUAUUUUGGAAUAAGGACAGCUGACUGUCCCAGGGCUGUUUUAUGAGCAUAUCCUGGUUAUCGCUGUCAUGUGUCAUGAUUCAGGUCAAGGAAUCGAGGAUGAGACUGGAGAUAUGAGGGCAUGGCUGAGGCUGCCCGGCUGACCUGCUGGGCUGGAGCUGCUUGCAGAGGAGCACUGCCAAGGAAGGGUUUGUGACAUCUCCUGUUCUUUUUCUUUUAAGUGGUUUAUUUGUGUUUGUUUGUUUCUGUGUAUUUUUUCUCCAAAGAGUUGCUGACUUUGGGGGAAAAGAUAUCCCACAACGAUCAGGAUCAACCUGCUUUGGCCACAUCUCUCACCGAGGCAUACAGAGAGCCACUUCAGGCUGCUGUCUGCACGAGGGAGGUUUGAUCUUUCAAAACUUGCUUUGUCAGAAUCCCUUUGCAAGAGAAGAGCAGUGAUGAAUGUUGAUGCCAAUUGCUGGAGAGGCCAUGGAACACCUGCCACUGCUUUCCUCCCACCAGCCAGCAAAGGAGGAAGGCGACUCAGGGAGGUGGGUACUGUGAGUGUUCGCUUCGCUGCUCUUCAGUGGAUGCUUUGCAGGUCGUUAUUAUGGGGAUGGCGGUCCAUGUGGUCCAAUGGCUGUGCUACCUACAGCAGGGGCAGAAGCCCACUUGUGCAGCAGCACUCCAGAUCUGCCACGUUAGAAGCCCACAAAGACACAGCACCUUUCAGAAAAUGAGAGUUGUAAAGGUAAGGGGCAGGCAUCAGCUCCGCCUCCUCCCCACGCCUGCCUUUAAUAUCUCAUUAUUGGCACUAAUGACUGAUUAUACGUCUCCAGUCUUUUGACCUUUAAUAAUUUCUGUACCAACAUGCUUUACUGCUUUCCGGGGGAAAUGUUAUCUGAAGUGUGAAAUUAACCAUUCUUUUGUUAUGAAAUCACCACUUGGCCAUCACCGCUGAAUAGUUUCAAACCUGAAACAUAUUUGAACUGUUUCCAAGUUCAUCUAGAGCGUGACCUUGUGUGUUUUAAUAAUUAUAAUUUCCUAAGUAAAGUACAACUCUAGAACCGGAGAAAAAAUGUGCAGACAGCUGCAGGGGUGGGGAGGGCUGACUGCAACGAUGAGCUCCACGAAUACAGCAGGAGGAAGGCCAUAAAUCUCCAAAAUCAAAGUGCCUUCUCAUUUUAACCCCUGGUGUGCGGCAGUGCUCCGGUGAUCCAAAGGAGCAGAGCUUCCCGCGGGCUGCCCUGCUGGCAACAGAAGUGGGAAAUGUGCGGGGAGAAUGAGGAAGAGGAGGAGAAUCAUCAGGUUUUAAGCUGAUCUUCCUUUCCCCAGAGAGCCGCUCUGGUUUCAGAUUUUUAUCUCUGGCAUAGUGGUGUAGAUCAGCUGAAAGCAGCAGGAUUUGCCCCUGCAGAGACGUGAGCGGCACUCAGGCGCACAGCCGCGGUAUGCGUGCACAUGUGAGUAAUACCAUUGGAAUCAAGGACUUGAAAGAGGAGCGCGCACAUGAGUAAUGUUUUGUAGAUACAAGGGCUGGAAUCUGGGCCACACGGCUCAGGACAAAGAGACGUGUCAGUUCUGCAUAAAUAACACAGGCAUCCAGCUUCAACACCACAACCUGCUCAGCAGGGCGAAAGUCACCCUUUCCAACCCACUUCCAGGAGAGCCAGGACUGAGCAGGAGGUCACCUUCUGAGCCAUGGAUGAGCCCAGGUGCUGAGUGCUCCGAAUGCCCAGCGCUGCAAGCUCAGCUGGGGCAAUGGAUGGAACCUCGCUGUGCAAGAGAGGGAGUGCCAUGUUUUGUGCUGCGGCUUUCUUGGAAGGAGAGCCUGCUGCAGCCCUGCUGCAGGGGAAUGUGGACCACAGCAGGAGGAAAUAGCCUCUGUUUCUCCUCCAGGCACUUUCCCUCUGUGUAACAAUCACCUCUUAAAGCCUCAAUGAAACAGGGUUAAAAAAAAAUAAAAGGAGAGAGCCAGAGCGACAGACCACCCAGGUCAGGGUGCGUUUAUCAGGCAUGCAUCACUCCGUGCAAUGUAAGGCUUCUCUGAGGCACUUCUGGGAGAUUUGACCAGCAAUAUGACUAACACAACACUUGGCAAAGCAAAGACUAAUAGUGUGAUUGUUCUGCCGGCUUCUCCCCUUCUCGAGUAAUAUCGUGCUGAGCAGCGUUCGAGUUAGAGAUCUGAAAGGCCUUUUCAUUAUUGUAUCGAAAACUCCUCUGACUGCAGAUCUCUUAAUCAAAGGACUUUUAUGUAAAGUCACAUUUUUUCCAAAACCAGAAAAGUUCAGGCUCAGAGCAUAAACAUUAGACUCAUUAUUUAGAAAUAGCAAGUAAGUCCUCUGGGUUCUGGUAUCAGAUCAAAGCUAAAAAAUUAAAUUGCUAAAAAAAAAAAGGAAAAAAAUAAGCUCAUUUUGGGGAUCAGCAUAUUUCUUGUUUGCUUUUUAUUAUGGAGCUAAAAAAAGGAAUAGUGAGAUUCUGUCGGUGGUUUUCAAGUGUUUUCCAAAACUGGAAGGGUGCUGCAUGCUGAGCACUUCCACAGUCUGUGGAGGCAGAAAAUAUUUUGUUGACAUGACAAUAAAACCAUUCUGCACUUAUCGCAUUGUUUUCCCCUCUGCUGUUCGUAGCCACAAGCGAGCAGCAUGAGCACCGUGCUCCUGAGGAAGAGAAACCUGUGUUUGGCUGUUGGUGCCUCUGGGAUGGAGGCUGGAGCCUGCCCUGAUGCAUCAAGGAAGAGUUCCCAUCCAGGCUGUGGGCAAUUGGGCACUGCCUUGGCCAGCGUGUGGCCCAACAUCAUGCUGCUGUGCCGAGGGAAUCGCUGCCCAGUGGUAACCAGAGGCAAAGAUAAGUAGCUUAUUGUUAAGAGUUCUAGACCCACAUCUCCAGUUGCCAAUGCUUUUUCUCUCUUCUCCCUGCUCAUGGCCUCUGCCUGCUUUUUCAGGCUGUGGACACACGCACUGGGAUGGGCUUUUGGUGCAGAGGUCAGUGGAUGUAGGAAUGGAGGAGAGCCAUGCACGUAGGGCAGCUACCAGUGCUGUCUCCAUCCAAGGCAAAUUCCACUCUGGAGACCUACAUCAGCAAUUCCCACCACCCCCGAGGCGCUGUCUCCUACGCUGACCAUGGGGCACCUCAGGAGAUGGCAGAACCAAGGACUGAUGUUUGGGGUUGCUUUUUUUUUUUACUAUUUUCUUCCUGACUCAUUUCCCCAACCAAUAACUUACUGCGCUCACAAGCGAAAUAAGAACAGCUCCAAUUCCUGCUGAUGUCUGUGAGCUUUGCACGUGGCUCCAAGAGAGGUGGGACUAUCGUAGAAUACCAAAGCAAGCGGAUUGCUGAGGGCUCAGGAAUGGCAGAAAUGCCCUCAUGCGUUCUGUUUGUGACACUGCUGCUAAUUGGAGUUGCUUAAUCACACAGAGAGGCAGCUUCAGAGUAGCUUUACACCAGUCCUUCAGAUGUUUCCCUUAUCUCUGAUUUUCUGUGGCCUGCUGGGCUUUUUCCUAGUUGGUUUUCUGUCACCUAGAAAUUGCUCAGAGUGUUUAUUCCUCAGGACAUUUGAGUUUUCUCCAUGAUUCAGCCACAGACUCCUUGCUUGCCUGUCAUAAGACAUUCAAUCUUUUCAUUUCUAAGGUCCCCAUCUGUAUAGAGAGGCCAGAAAUGAGAGAAAAACAGGCAUAGUAGGGCUAGCUACAUACAGAUCCUCAAGUGUUGAGGGGACAUGCAGUUUCUUAAAUGAAUUGGUCACAUGAUACCGUUUUGGGGGGGUUUAUUUUGGUUCUUUACUGGGUAAUUGAAGCUUCAUAGACAUUAGGAAUCUGAAAAAUGCAUAUCAGUUACUUAUGUACAAACAGCUUUCUCACAGCAAUCUGGGGUUCUCGUAGGGGAGAGAGCCCUUCUAUGAGCACUGCAGCAAACAACCACCUGUUUCCACAAGUGUAAUGAUUCCCACAGCUAGAAUGAAGAGUUGAUAUUCAGGAUAUACACACAGAUUUUCCAUCUCUACAUUGCAACAUUAGCUGCGAUGCCCACCAUCAAACCUUCUCCACCAAGAAACACACCUAUUUCUCUACAUUUCUAAGCUUUCCAAAUGACCACCCCCUUCUCCAUUUAAUAAGAUCUGCAUUCCUCUGGCUUAGCUUCUACUUUUGCGAUGGGCUUGGCACCCAAAGACAUGUGUUCAAGUAGUAGGAAGCCCAAGGAUGCAGGUGGAUGAACUUGGUCCUCUAGCUGCUAUCCAACAGGAGAUGCAUGGUCAUCAAACUCAGCCCCACAGCAAGUGAAAGGCUCCUGCUACAGUGAGGGGAUGUAAUUGGACCUUGUAAGCUCUGUGACAUGGGAACCAAUUACACAGAAAUCCAAGCUUUGGCAGGCAAGUCUGCACUCUGGCGCUAGCUGGUCUCCAGCAAACGGCUGCUGUACGCAUGGUAAAGGUUAAGACUCAGCUGAUGCAGAGUUGGCAGCUGCACUGAGUCCUUUGGCAUUAACAUGCCAUCUUGGGUAAGGAAGAACAAUAGAUAAGUGCCUUCUGGCAGCCCGCUUCCAUGCUCCCAUUCAGCCCGUGACAUGUUCUUUGGGGAAGCGUUACUUGAGAAAGCAAAAGAUAAAUCAGUGUAUGGUAGGAAAAUAGCAGGAAGCUUUGGCUCAAGGCAGGCAGCUGAGGGACAGCAGAGUCCAAGCUUAUCUGCCAGUUCAAUGAAAUGGCACGGUACUGUAUAUUAAGCAAGGGAAAAGAAAGUAGUGCUGGCAUGGUGAAGAGAGACUGAUGGAAAGAACUGGACUCAAGGAGGAAUGGGUGGUUCUUUCUUAUAUGUCCUUUCCUUAACUACAUGCAAUGCAGUCCAGUGAAGAUCAGAUCACUUUCCGCAACAGUGAGGGUUGAAGAUGGAUGGGCACGGCAGGUUGGUGCUGGAAGCCAAGUGAGCAGCUGGCUAAAGCCCGUAUAGUCAAGGGAGCUCAGUGCUGGCCACCCAGGGCCUGGCCAUGGAAUGACCCUCAAGCUCCUCUGCAGUGAUAAGAGCGUCACUUCCACACUGCUGCCCUCAUGCCAUAGAAUCAUAGAAUCGCCUGGGUUGAAAGGAACCACAAUGAUCAUCUCGUUUCAACCCCCCUGCUAUGUGCAGGGUUGCCAACCACCAGACCAGGCUGCCCAGAGCCACAUCCAGCCUGGUCUUGAAUGCCUCCAGGGAUGGGGUCAUUGCAGAGAAGCUGCUUUUGAGGAAAUGGGAACACCACCAACACAAACUGCUCUGGUUUGAACUGUUAAUGGACUUUCAGACACCAUGAAAGGCAGAAGGGCAGUGUGCUUGUGGCGAAAACCAUUCUCUCCUUUCUCACAGUGAGAGGGAAAGGACAGCACUAAAGAAAUGUGAUUUUGUGUUUGAAGGAAACAAUCAACCUAUUUUUCUCUCUAUAAGGGAGCAAAAUGGCCAUAGCUGCAAAUUAAUCCAGCAGUCCACAUCAGAUCCAGGAAGAAAAUAAUUUUGUUUUGUUUUCAUCACACAUUUCAGCAAUUAAGGAUUAGAAAGCAUUGGUUUUAAAAGGGAAACACUGUAAGGUUUUAUGACCUUAUAGUUAAAACCAUAUGACUGUCUGUAAAGAUAGAAAUAAGGACAUUAAGAAACUUAUAACGAGAAGAACUUAGGACUCUAGUCUCCAGGACAGCCUAAGAAUUCUGGUUCUCCGAAACUGACGUGGCUAUUGAAGCCCAAGCUUUGCCUUUCGGUCCCCCUCUUGUUCCUUGCACACCUGGAGACCUGGCCUUUGCUCUUUGCCUCUGUGUCCUGAGCAAUUUUCAUACAUUUCUGGGCUACAGUCUCUCUCUGUUUCAUAUCAGAACCUAUCUCUUCCCUUCCAUAUCUACACUUCUAUAGCAUCUCUUUUUACUGGUAUUACUUACUCCUAAUAACUGUAAUUACAUUAUGGAUCCCUGUCAAGCUUCUAGGAACAAAGCUUGGAUGAAGAAUUCUAUACAAAAUAGACCUCUAUCACAGGAAAUUUGCACCAUGGCAAAGAGACAAGGAAGUUGUUUGAUCAUUACUUUUAUCUAGAACAAAUUGCACAUAAUAGCAUAAUAAUAUUUUCUACCAGAUUCUGUUUCUCAGACAAGCACAAUUUCUUUCUCUUUUUUUUUUUUUUUGGUAAAUUAAUCUGCAUUUAACUGAAUCAUCUAUGUAUAUCUGAGUCCCCAAAAUGAGAUACUUAAAUGUGCAUUAAAAAAUAAACAAAUGAGUAAUUCACUGAAUGCAGUCCUUGUUUCACUGCCCUUGACAUAGCCCUAGAAACUCAAAACUUUCGUAUUGACUUAAGAUAAGUGCCAUAAGACCAUUAAACAAUCCAUUGUUCUUAUGGUACCCAAUAAUCUAGUCUUUUUAUUUAAAUAUGAUAGGAAGUAAUCCCAGAGCCAAUGAAAGCAUGGAACCAACUAGGUGUAACGUUCCACAAAUGCUAUAUUGCAUGGAAGAGUUCAGCUCCUUAUCUGGAAAACAGUUGGCUGUGACCCUAUUAAACAAUUAUAUAUUAUCAGUUUUACUUGGCAACAUUUAUGUGUCAAAAUGUGUCAUGGGUUUCACAGCUUAGUUCCAGAAAUAGACUGUGAUCUGGGUGACAUCAUACUUCUCAGUAAAACCCUUUUUUUCACUUUUCUUCCUUUCAUAACCACUUGUGUUCCCGGUAUUCCCAGCCCCACGCUGGGUGCGCUCAGGCCAGCAAGAUGGAACAAGCCCUUUCCACAAUUUGGCUCCAUGGCACUUCAAAUGGGUUGAACAGUUUACCAAAACAGUGCUGGUCACCUGGUGACAAACAGGAACCUUGGUGGCUCCUCUAUGGCAGAGCAGGAAAAACACGGGAACUUUGGUGAAGACUGUUUAUAGCAAUAACCACUGCGCAAUGAAGAGACACCAAAGACUAUCAAUGAUUGAAUGGGGCUGGCGGUUCACUUUGUGAUGUAAAGGGAUAAGAAUGUGUUACUGGGAGGUGCAACUCCCGUAACUCAAACAACAUCCAUGGAUGUACUGCUCAGAGCGCUUGGCCCGAGGCACAGGGGAGAUGCCGGAUGGUGAAAGAUUAGGAAAAGCUACAAGCGGGGAGAGCUGAAAGUCUCCUCUCAGAAGCUUAUUGGGAUAUUUAAGCAGUAAGCGACUGGAUUCUUAAAUGCAAAGUGGGAGAAAGUGGCAUUGUGAAACUGCAUUGCAAAAUCCUAUUAAGUCAAAGUUGCAAACAGCUACGCAACUGUCUGUUGUGUCGGAGCAGGAAGCCUGGGCACCAUUUUAAUGAGUCAUGAUCAAACAUCAUGCUGUCAUCUCAAUUUUUUCUCAAGUGCAUAUCAGGAAACAGAAAUGAAUUCUAGAGUUUUUAGCAUUCAAAGAAGAAAGUGCAUAAAGUUUUCUGCUCUCUGUAUGCUAAUCCUUUUCUUCAAAAUAUUAAGGGUGCGAUAUAAUUAAAAAUGUAAAAGGAGUUACCAUAGUAAACUCGAGGUCUUCAUGAACUAACCCACAGACCACAGCAUUUUCCUUUAUUUUGAAGCAUAACUGCAUUUUACCUCGCAAAUGUAGACAAACAUCCUCCAGGUUGUAAGCUGAAGGAAAUACGUAAGAAAGGAAAACAAAUUAAAAGAAGACAUAUGAAAAGUUUUCUCAGAAUCACUCAAGAAAAUUAACUUGAAACAACUAACCUACAUGUGGGAACAGAGUACUUCUACCACAUUAAACUGCAGGGCAACAGAACUCAAGUUUUAGCUAUUCCGGUAUUUAUUUAAUUUACUUUGGAAAUGAAUUAAGCAAUGGCGAAGUUAAGGCAUUUUCAUCACAAGCUGAAGAAAAGCUGAAUAAUGUACCUCAAGGUUUUUGAGUUUCUUUUGGAAGCUCCUUUGAGGCUCUUCAUACAAACUGCUCUUCAGUGGUCAGUCAGCACCUGGAUAUGGAGCGCUCCUGUCAGUUCCUAUAGCAGUUUGGAAGCAACAGUGGCUUUUUCUGCAACACUGAGAAGCCUAAAAUAAAGACAUAUUUAGGAAUUAAUUGUGUUUUCUCUUUCUUUACCAUUUCUUCUUUUUUUUUUCUUCAAAAGACAGAAGCAAAAUAAGAAGGAGAGAAGGGUAAAAGGGUAAAAGCACAGUGGAACUACAGAACAAACAAGAUGGCAAAAUAACAAAACUAUUUUUUAAUAAGCUGGGAAUUUGCCUCAGUAUGCAGUUCUUGGAGGAGAGGCGGCUCUGCGAGCUGGCCAGGUUCCCCACCGCACACAUAUGGACACCUGGAAGGAGAGGCAAAAUGAGCUUUACUCUUGUGCAACCCGAAGGUUACAUUUCUGUGACAAGUCUAAGUACUUCUUAUUAAGGAAAGGUUGAAAGACUGCAGAAAUGAUAAACAUCAGUUUUCAGUGGUGCAGUGAUAAACAGGCAUCAAAUAGGGAUCUUUAUUCUCCCCACAAAGAAUAACUGCUUACACCGAUGGGCUACACUGCUGGAAAGCUGUGUUUGAGAGGGGAAUCCAACAGGAGAAAAUAGAAUAUACAGAGAAAAGCACUGGAGAUGUGGAGGGAGAGCAGAGGAAAAAAAUGCUAUAAAUAAAAGCUAUUUGAAUUGAACUGUUCUUGAUCUUUAAUGAAUGAUGUUUCCUAAAGGCAAGAGAGGAACAAGAACUGUGAUGAGGGAGACAAACAUCCUCUAAAGAUCCAGGAGGUAUUUCCCAGAGUCCCAGCCCUGAGGCUGAAUGGGGACAGGGCUGGACUUGCCCAAGGAAAAGCCCAAAGUGAAGGAGAAACACUAUAAAGUGCAAAGGAGAGGAGAGGCAUCGUACUCUCACUGGGGCUGAGCAAGGGGUAGAGGAGGAUCAGGCACUAAAUGUUGCUCAUGUGUCAACUUGUUCUUCUAAACAAAGCACCUUCAAUCUGUAAUGAUUUUAGUGGCCUUUCUAAACCCCAGUUCAUAGGUUGUUAAUUCUCUAGCAUGACUUUUGUUUUUA